UACAGAGGUCUCGAGCGUUGUUCGGAUUCAUUGGGCGUAAAGGGUGCGUAGGUGGCGCUGUAAGUCGGGUGUGAAAUCCUGAGGCUUAACCUCGGAACUGCAUUCGAUACUGCGGCGCUUGAGGACUGGAGAGGAGACUGGAAUUCAUGGUGUAGCGGUGAAAUGCGUAGAGAUCAUGAGGAAGACCAGUGGCGAAGGCGGGUCUCUGGACAGUUCCUGACACUGAGGCACGAAGGCCAGGGGAGCAAACGGG
rnacentral:rRNA from 1 species